GUGGAUAAGGCAUGCAAGUCAAGGGGGCUCCGCAAGGAGCAACCGGCAGACGAGGUAGUAAUAAUUAGGUACGUACCCAGGGGUCGGGCAUAGCUCGCCGAAAGGCGGGGUAAUUCCCGAUAGUCUCGAAAGAGUAAAGUUUUUCGCCCCCGGAACGGCCUGAUCGGUAUCAGCUAGUUGGUAAGGUAACGGCUUACCAAGGCUAUGACGCCUAGGGGACCUGAGAGGGUGACCCCCACCGAUGGGACUGAGACACGGCCCAUACACCUACGGGUGGCUGCAGUCGAGAAUCUUCCGCAAUGGACGAAAGUCUGACGGAGCGACGCCGCGUGGAGGAUGAAGUGCUUCGGCAUGUAAACUCCUUUUGCCAGGGAAAAAGUUAUUGAUUGUACCUGGAGAAUAAGAGGAUGCUAAACUCGUGCCAGCAGCAGCGGUAAUACGAGUGCCUCAAGCGUUAUCCGGAAUCAUUGGGCGUAAAGGGUGUGUAGGUGGUUGUAUUAGUCUCGCGUUAAAUCUUUCGGCUCAACCGAGAGGCUGCGUGGGAAACGGUACGACUAAGAGGACGGAAGAGGUUUCUGGAACUCAUGGUGUAGCGGUGGAAUGCGUUGAUAUCAUGGGGAACACCGAAAGCGAAGGCAAGAAACUGGUCCGCUCCUGACACUGAAACACGAAAGCGUGGGUCGCGAAUGGGAUUAGAUACCCCAGUAGUCCACGCCCUAAACGAUGAUCACUAGAUAUGGGGAGUAUCGACCCUCUCCGUGUCGUAGCAAACGCGUUAAGUGAUCCGCCUGGGUAGUA
rnacentral:rRNA from 1 species